GUGAUACUUGAACCAAAUCUUUGUUAUAUUAAUAUAUGGCAUUCUUGCUCUGAUUCCAGUAGCAUUUUUUCAUACUGAAAUUUAAUGGAUGGCUUUUAAUUUGUUUAAAUACUAUUGUCAGAGCAACAGUAUGUGCUUAGUGCCCAUGUAUGUGCCCCUUUAAAUCCCUAUCACUUGUGUAGGUUUUUUUCCCCUUCAGUCAGCUCUGACUAGAACAAGUUUAAAUGGUUGCAGUUUGCAUUAGUCAAUCACUCCCAUUUGAUCCAACUUAAAAUGAUGUAACACCUGCUUGUAUUAGAAGAGGAGUUCUUAAUAGGAACAAAUGUAAGGGACAGUUAGUUUUUUAAUGUACAGUUUGAGCCUCUUAAUUGAGAGCACAAUUAAAGGUAGCUUUAUCAAACCUUCAGGAACCCUUUUAACUGUCUAGAAUUCCUUCUCCCAUUUUUGAAAAAGGCAAAAUAAAACCUCUUAGGAAUAAAUUAAUAGAUACAAAGUAAACAAUAAACACACACCGAAAGUGCAUUAAUGUAGUCAUGCCUUCUGCAUGUGUUUAGAUCAAACCUGAAGAUUCUAUGAGAAUGUGGUGGUCAAAAGAAGAGCUGUAAGUGUACUUGGCCACUUGAAUACUGAUGGUAAUGCAGAUAAUUCCAGAUCCUGCAGGAAAAAUGAAGUAUUUUAAUAAAGUGAAUUGACUUCUUUCUUCUAAAUAUACAACUAAGAAGCUGCCAAUAAAGUUUUGAUUUUGAUAA